CUACGGGUUGCACCAGUGGGGAAUCUUAGACAAUGGGGGAAACCCUGAUCUAGCCAUGCCGCGUGAGUGACGAAGGCCUUAGGGUCGUAAAGCUCUUUCGCUGGGGAAGAUAAUGACUGUACCCAGUAAAGAAACCCCGGCUAACUCCGUGCCAGCAGCCGCGGUAAUACGGAGGGGGUUAGCGUUGUUCGGAAUUACUGGGCGUAAAGCGCGCGUAGGCGGACUGGAAAGUUGGGGGUGAAAUCCCGGGGCUCAACCCCGGAACGGCCUCCAAAACUAUCAGUCUAGAGUUCGAGAGAGGUGAGUGGAAUUCCGAGUGUAGAGGUGAAAUUCGUAGAUAUUCGGAGGAACACCAGUGGCGAAGGCGGCUCACUGGCUCGAUACUGACGCUGAGGUGCGAAAGCGUGGGGAGCAAACAGGAUUAGAUACCCCUGUAGUC
rnacentral:rRNA from 1 species